UUCCCUGCGACCUUGCUUGCACUCCUGCAGCGAAUGUGCACCUUGAAGCACACAGAGCGAAUACAGUAGCAUUAGCAGGAUAACGUGAAGGAAGAAUGGAUAUCAGAAAGUUUUUCAAGAAAGGAGGGAGACGAGGAGAAGCUGAGGUGUGUCCACCAUGAUCUGAAGAGGAGACGGAAGCAGGCAAAGGGGACUAUAAAAGGAAAGUGGAAAGCUGAUGGCGGGUGGCUGUGACCAAAACACUCCAGAUACAUUUCAAAUGGGGAGGAGGAGGAGGAGGAGGAUUGAAACUGUGGAAUGCAGCUCUUCUGGAUGUGCAGCAUGGGGUUUCCACACCGGAUGAUCUGCAGAAAUGUUUACACUGGAUGCCCUCUCUGACAUAACCCUCCCAUUUAUUUGGGCUUUGGACUGGCACAGAACACUGGAUGUGGCCCCCGGUGACUGGGGUCAAUUUAGAGAAUCCAAUGAACAAUGAACAAUGGGGAUUGGGUACCUUGCUCAAGGCUACCCCAGCCACCUGACCUGGCAGGGAUUCUGUCUAAUAGUUCACCUGUAUAAAUAAAGGUUAGAUAAAAAACUAAAUUCAAGUAAAACUUUCCCAUAAUUAGGAUAUCAUCAAAUAAAGAUAUGCACAUA